rnacentral:rRNA from 1 species
CCUACGGGUGGCAGCAGUGAGGAAUAUUGGUCAAUGGACGAGAGUCUGAACCAGCCAAGUAGCGUGAAGGAUGACUGCCCUAUGGGUUGUAAACUUCUUUUAUAAAGGAAUAAAACGAUGCACGUGUGCCUUUCUUGAAUGUACUUUAUGAAUAGGGAUCGGUUAACUCCGGUCCAGCAGCCGCGGUAAUACGGAGGAUCGGAGCGUUAUCCGGAUUUUUUGGGUUUAAGGGGAGUGUAGCUGGGUUGUUAAGUCAGUUGUUAAAGUUUGCGGCUCAACCGUAAAAUUGCAAUUGAUAGUGGCAGUCUUGAGUACAGAUGAGGUAGGCGGAAUUCGUGGUGUAGCGGUGAAAUGCUUAGAUAUCACGAAGAACCCCGAUUGCGAAGGCAGCUUACUAAACUGUGACUGACAUUGAUGCUCGAAAGUGUGGGUAUCAAACAGGAUUAGAUACCCUAGUAGUC